CAGUAGCCGCGGUAAUACGAAGGGGGCUAGCGUUGUUCGGAUUUACUGGGCGUAAAGCGCACGUAGGCGGAUCGAUCAGUCAGGGGUGAAAUCCCAGAGCUCAACUCUGGAACUGCCUUUGAUACUGUCGAUCUGGAGUAUGGAAGAGGUGAGUGGAAUUCCGAGUGUAGAGGUGAAAUUCGUAGAUAUUCGGAGGAACACCAGUGGCGGAGGCGGCUCACUGGUCCAUUACUGACGCUGAGGUGCGAAAGCGUGGGGAGCAAACAGGAUUAGAUACCCCAGUAGUCCCUGUCUCUUAUAC
rnacentral:rRNA from 1 species